AUUGAACGCUGGCGGCAUGCUUUACACAUGCAAGUCGAACGGUAACAGGUUAAGCUGACGAGUGGCGAACGGGUGAGUAAUGCAUCGGAACGUGCCCGAUCGUGGGGGAUAACGCAGCGAAAGCUGCGCUAAUACCGCAUACGAUCUGAGGAUGAAAGCGGGGGACCGUAAGGCCUCGCGCGAUCGGAGCGGCCGGUGUCAGAUUAGGUAGUGGGUGGGGUAAAGGCUCACCAAGCCAACGAUCUGUAGCUGGUCUGGGAGGACGACCAGCCACACGGGAACGGGGACACGGCCCGAACUCCUACGGGAGGCAGCGGUGGGGAAUUUUGGACAAGGGGCGAAAGCCUGGCCCAGCAAUGCCGCGUGCAGGAAGAAGGCCUUCGGGUUGUAAACUGCUUUUGUACGGAGCGAAAGGGCUCUCUCUAAUACAGGGGGCUCAUGACGGUACCGUAAGAAUAAGCACCGGCUAACUACGUGCCAGCAGCCGCCGUAA
rnacentral:rRNA from 1 species